UACGUAGGUGGCAAGCGUUGUCCGGAAUUAUUGGGCGUAAAGCGCGCGCAGGCGGUCCUUUAAGUCUGAUGUGAAAGCCCCGGGCUCAACCUGGGAAUGGCAAUGGAUACUGGACAGCUAGAGUGCGGUAGAGGGUAGUGGAAUUCCCGGUGUAGCAGUGAAAUGCGUAGAGAUCGGGAGGAACACCAGUGGCGAAGGCGGCUACCUGGACCAGCACUGACACUGAAGCACGAAAGCGUGGGGAGCAAACAGG
rnacentral:rRNA from 1 species